rnacentral:rRNA from 1 species
GACGUAGGGCGCGAGCGUUGUCCGGAUUUAUUGGGCGUAAAGAGCUCGUAGGCGGCUUGUCGCGUCGACUGUGAAAACCCGAGGCUCAACUUCGGGCUUGCAGUCGAUACGGGCAGACUAGAGUGCUGUAGGGGAGACUGGAAUUCCUGGUGUAGCGGUGAAAUGCGCAGAUAUCAGGAGGAACACCGGUGGCGAAGGCGGGUCUCUGGGCCGAUACUGACGCUGAGGAGCGAAAGCGUGGGGAGCGAACAGG